UUUGAAUAUGGCACAGAGUGGAUGCCUUGGCACCAGUGUAACUGGACGUUUUUAUUACGAAAAGCCUAGCUAUCACAUGUUUGCUAGGAUUUCCAGAGUGGAAACAAACAAUAUCAAAAAACUGUGACCGGAAACCUCCUUUAGCAGUAAUAGAAAUCAACCGAGAUUCCAAAAGUAGUGGUGAGCGAAAUUGGAAAAAUUGUUCUAUGCUUAUGAAAAUGCCAAGGUGCAUCUUUAUCAACUUUUUGCAAUCAACUAGAAAAUUAUAGUCAAAACCUCGUGCGCAAAGCGCACAAGUUUUUAAAAAACUAAAAUUUAUACUAAAUUUAAAUUUCAUCCUCGUGUAUAUUCAUACACGAGCGAUAAAUCCAUUUGUUACACUAUUGUUGCAAAUGCAUACGAAUACAAUAUUUUUUGACUAUAUUUGGAAAACUAGACCAAAGAGGGUGAUAGUCCCGUAUUAAUUGCAAAAAAAAAUUUUGGUUUAGUGAAUAACUCACUAUUCACUCAAUUUUAGAGUUCUUGUCAGCAUAACUGGCAAGGUAUUUAGGGGAACCACCCUCGUUAUUGAAAAGCACUGGUGACCGAUAGUGAAUAGUAUCGUGAGAGAAAGGAUAAAAUGCUACGGUGUAGCUAUGAAAAAACUGAAACUCUGUGCUAACAAACAGUUAAAAGCCUAUUUGGAGGUUUUGACGUGCCUUUUGCAUCAUGAAUCUACAAGUUAUAGAGAGCAGCUUUGCUUAAUCCGGUAGGAGUAGGCA
rnacentral:rRNA from 1 species